rnacentral:rRNA from 1 species
UACGGAAGGGGCAAGCGUUGUUCGGAAUCAUUGGGCGUAAAGGGCGCGUAGGUGGUCUUGUAUGUCUACCGUGAAAGCAUACAGCUCAACUGUAUUUUGUCGGUAGAAACUGCAGGACUUGAGGCUGGGAGGGGCUGGUGGAAUUCCCUGUGUAGCGGUGAAAUGCGCAGAUAUCAGGAAGAACACCAAUGGCGAAGGCAGCUCUCUGGGACGGUACUGACGCUGAGACGCGAAAGCGUGGGGAGCGAACAGG